GCAACGUUUUGUGUUACUAGGAGUUCCCUACAAGCACUUCACAAUACCUUGGCUCAAUAAAUUAAAGGCCAGUUGUGAAGUGUUUGGGGGAACUCUUGGUAUCAUGAAGCAUUU
rnacentral:pre_miRNA from 1 species